rnacentral:misc_RNA from 1 species
CAAACAGUUUAACCAUGCUGGGACGACCUGCCAAAAAUAAAAGCAAUUACAUACCACAAGAACGCUGUUGAAAAUAACAGGAAACUUGCAAGCAAAUUCCAGAGUAGUAAACCCAAAACAAAUUUCCAUAAACUACUUCAAAAUAUAUCGUAAGUCCAGCCAACUCUUGGUAAUGAAAUACUUCAUUCACCAAUGAAUUCCUUUCUAAUGUUCAACAUUUCAUCUACCUCAAUUCAAUGAAAUUUCCAAUUUUUUUUUUGUUUUCAAUAUGUAUCAAAUAACAAGGGAAUAAAUUUUCCAUUUUUCCUCUUUUUUUUUUUUU